rnacentral:rRNA from 1 species
AUUCCAGCUCCAAUAGUGUAUAUUAAAGUUGUUGCAGUUAAAAAGCUCGUAGUUGGAUUUCUGGCGGGAGCGAUCGGUCCUUCACUCAGUGUUGGAACCUGAUUGUCUCCUGCCAUCCAUGGAGAAAACUUAUCUGGCAUUAAGUUGUCGGGUAGGCAAUCUCCAUCUUUUACUGUGAAAAAAUUAGAGUGUUCAAAGCAGGCUUAUGCCGUUGAAUAUAUUAGCAUGGAAUAAUAAGAUAGGACUAUGGUACUAUUUUGUUGGUUUGAGGGACUGCAGUAAUGAUUAAUAGGGAUAGUUGGGGGCAUUAGUAUUUAAUUGUCAGAGGUGGAAUUCUCGGAUUUGUUAAAGACUAACUUAUGCGAAAGCAUUUGCCAAGGAUGUUUUCAUUG